rnacentral:tRNA from 1 species
GGAGGGGUGGCCGAGCGGUCUAAGGCGGGGGAUUUGAAAUCCCUUGAGCCCGAAAGGGCUCCGCGGGUUCGAAUCCCGCCCCCUCCG